rnacentral:tRNA from 1 species
GCCUGUUUGGCUCAGUGGAUAGAGCAUCAGUUCUUGGACUGAAGAGUCCCGGGUUCAAUUCCGGUCAAGGGCA